CCUACGGGUGGCUGCAGUGAGGAAUAUUGGUCAAUGGCCGAGAGGCUGAACCAGCCAAGUCGCGUGAGGGAAGACGGCCCUACGGGUUGUAAACCUCUUUUGUCGGGGAGUAAAGCGAACCACGUGUGGUUCAUUGUGAGUACCCGAAGAAAAAGCAUCGGCUAACUCCGUGCCAGCAGCCGCGGUAAUACGGAGGAUGCGAGCGUUAUCCGGAUUUAUUGGGUUUAAAGGGUGCGCAGGCGGAGGUGCAAGUCAGUGGUCAAAUUGUGGGGCUCAACCCCGUACUGCCGUUGAAACUGCAUCCCUUGAGUACAGGAGAGGUAUGCGGAAUGCGUGGUGUAGCGGUGAAAUGCAUUGAUAUCACGCAGAACUCCGAUUGCGAAGGCAGCAUACCGGCGCGCAACUGACGCUCAUGCACGAAAGCGUGGGUAUCGAACAGGAUUAGAUACCCGGGUAGUC
rnacentral:rRNA from 1 species